UAAACUCAGUUUUCCGCAAUACUACCAUAGAGAACGUAAAGCUCACCGCGAAAUCCAUUUAACUAUGAGAGAGAAUAGACCAAAUACAUAAGGACUGGUUUAAGAAAGAAUUAAAAAGCAGCUUGAUGCUCACAAAGCUAGAUAUAAACUUCCACCUUUAUAUUACAAAUAUUAGGAAUCAAAUGUUUGUUCUGCAAACUACCACUUGAAAGACCAAGAAUA
rnacentral:misc_RNA from 1 species